AUAAAGGUACAGCACAGACAAAAAUUAGCUCCAUGGGAAGGGUUUUCUUAGCUACAGUUUGCUAAUAGGAAGGCAACACAGUAUUAGAAGUGGAACAAAGGGAAUUUAUUAGUAAUGGGAGAGGGAAACUAAAAGAAUGUAGAGAUGUGUUAGAGGUACAGUGACAGACAAAAUAUAGCUCCAUGGGAAGGGUUUUCUUAGCUACAGUUUGCUAAUAGGAAGGCAAAACUGUAUUAGAAGUGGAACAAAGGGAAUUUAUAAGUAAUGAGAGAGGGAAACUAAAAGAAUGUAGAUGUGAAAAAUGUACAGUGACUGACAAAAUAUAGCUCCAUGGGAAGGGUUUUCUUAGCUACAGUUUGCUAAUAGGAAGGCAACACAGUAUUAGAAGUGGAACAAAGGGAAUUUAUAAGUAAUGGGAGAGGGAAACAGGAAAAGAAUGCAGAGAUGUGUUAAAGGCACAGUAACAGACAAAAUAUAGCUCCAUGGGAAGGGUUUUCUUAGCUACAGUUUGCUAAUAGGAAGGCAACACAGAAUUAGAAGUGGAAUAACAGAGGGAGUUUAGCAGUAGUGUGAGAGGGAAGGAAAUAGGAGGAUAAUGCGGAGGUAGUUCAAUAAAAGAGAAUUUACGCCAGAAACAUGAAAUAAGGGGAUCAGAACUUUGAGGGAACGUCCAUAGGAAUAAAGACAUGGAAAAAAAUAAAUGAGAACCUAAACGGAAACAAUCACAAGAGGAAAUUUCAGUGGCGAGGGUAAGAUACAGAGAGGAUGCGAAGGCGGCAACACAGUAACAAGAAUAUGGAAAAAGAAGUAGAAAUGAGGAACGGAAAGUUGAUAAAAACUACUACAAAGAAUCUUGAGGCCCGAGGUAGAGAAAGGAAGGUUAGGAACGCAAAGGUGAAAAUUCAGUUAUAAAGAAAGUUGAGAUAGAGAUAGAAGGAAAGGGAGAGAGAAACAGGAAGGCAGAGAAUGAAAUGCCAAUAUAUGAAGAAUGUUGAGAUAGAGAGACUGAAAGGGAGAGAGAAACAGGAAAGCAGAGAAUGAAAUGCCAAUAUAUGAAGAAUGUUGAGAUAGAGACAGAAGGAAAGGGACAGAGAAACAGGAAGGCAGAGAAUGAAAUGCCAAUAUAUGAAGAAUGUUGAGAUAGAGACAGAAGGAAAGGGACGGAGAAACAGGAAGGCAGAGAAUAAAAUGCCAAUAUAUGAAGAAUGUUGAAAUAGAGAGACUGAAAGGGAGAGAGAAACAAGAAGGCAGAGAAUGAAAUGACAAUAUAUGAAGAAUGUUGAGAUACAGACAGAAGGAAAGGGAGAGAGAAACAGGAAGGCAGAGAAUAAAAUGCCACAUGAUAUAUGAAGAAUGUUGAGAUAGAGACAGAGGUGGAUAAAAUUAGAGGUAUUAGAGGCGGAUAAAGACAGAAAAAGAAAUACAGACAUAGAGGUAGAUUAAAUUAGAGGUACUAGAGGCAGAUAGAAAAUAGGAAAAUACAUAAAAAUAGAAGGAAUGGAAGAGAUAAUUAAAAAGAAGAUAGCUUUGAGAAUUACUGAUAUAGAGAAAGAUAGCAAAAGGUUAGGAAUAGGAAGGUGAAAAUGCAUUGAUGAAGAUAAUAGUAAAGUUAGACAAUGAUUCAUGAUUUAGUAGGCCGAAUAAAGUGGGUUUUUUUAAUAUAUAAGGCUACACUCCAACCUCACUCCACCCUUUGCCAAUACAGUACAUGUCCAGUCAUCCAAAUUCCAGUGGUCAGAAAUUCCCAGUAAAUUCCAGUGGUCAGGAAUUCCCAGUAAUAAAUUCCAGUGGUCAAAAAUUCCCAGUAAUAAAUUCCAGUGGUCAGAAAUUCCCAGUAAUAAAUUCCAGUGGUCAGAAAUUCCCAGUAAUAAAUUCCAGUGGUCAGAAAUUCCCAGUAAUAAAUUCCAGUGGUCAGAAAUUCCCAGUAAUAAAUUCCAGUGGCCAGAAAUUCCCAGUAAUAAAUUCCAGUGGUCACUAAUUCCCAAAAAUACAAAUUCCAGGAAUCAGAAAUUCUUAAUGAUUCAAAUUCUUGGGGUCAAAUUCCAAAUGACACCAUUUUUUUAAGACAGAAAACUAUGAUUCAGCAAAAAGAUAAAAAUACAAAACUUUAUACAGAAGAAAACUUGAAUAAAAAACAACAACUGUAACAACUGAAGGGCAGGGAAAAAAAGGAUGAUGGCAGUUGUGUCAGUUACCCAAUUAUACAAAAAAAAAAUAUAUAUAUACUUAAAACUGAGACAUAUAAUUGUAAAGGGAAAUGAGGACUCGGCCUGGAUUUUCUUUCUAUUCAUCAAAAAAAAAAAAGAUAA